rfam:Ovis aries breed Texel chromosome 4, whole genome shotgun sequence.
UCCCUGGUGGCUCAGAGGGUAAAGCAUCUGCCUGCAAUGCAGGAGACCCAGGUGUGAUCCCUGGGUCUGGAA